AUCUUUUGUAACACUCUUAAUGAACUCUUAAUGAUCCCAAACCUUUUAAUCAGUGGUGUGACAGUGGAACAGCAUAUAGCUUUCUUAAAAAUAUAGUCUGCAUUCCCAGCAAGAUCCAAACCCUCCACAAUCUCCACCGGCGAGGCUUUGGCAGUGGAAUCUGGCAGCGGUUUAACAUUGUUAUCAGUCCUCACGCUAUUUACCUAAUGCGUUUCUGUGUAAUUGGAUUACAUGAUCCCGCUUGUCAGCCCAGGUGUGUUGUGCAUCUAUUAAAUGACUGACAUUUUUAUGUAGCUAAGCUGAAAGCUCCGGGCCUUUUGCACGUUGAGUGGAAUCAGGUGCUCGGCUCGGUGUGUGAGAGGCUGUAAAAGUGCACACACUCCUUUCUUUGCUGCCUCCAUCCACUUUUCUUUUUUUUUUACUUUCCGUCCUGCCUCUUUUUUUUUUUUUUGUUCUUUCCGUUCCAUUUGCAAGGUGUGAUAUUGCUUUAAUUCAGCAGAAACAUGUGGAAUAUCUCCGGGGAUUACUGGAAGAGGAAAAACUCAACUUUUCUCUCUCUCUCUCUCUCUCUCUGCCACUGCCAGACUCGGGCAGCUUGUGUUGUAGAGCAGCAGGGUCUGCUGGGAAUGAAUGUAGUUAGUGCGACCUUUGACCCCGAGAGCUGUUGACAUGGAAGGCGGCCAAGAAGGGCUCUUACAGGACCCUUUUGUUAAUCUCAUUCAUGGCUCGCCUUUGCAAAAAAACCUAGUUGUGUGUGUGUGUGUGUGUGGAGGGUGUUGGCAGCUCUACUUGCUGGAAUGUGCUCUCUCUCUCUCUCUCUCUCUCUCUUUCUUUUUUUCCCAGGCUUGUUUGGAAGAAAUGGUGGGCCCAGGACCAGCGCGACUGCUUUAGCCCGGACCCUGCCCUUUCAGCUCAAUCGACACUGACAGAUUCCUGGCCUGGGAUUGCCAACUGGCACACAGGAAAGAGUGAUGGAGAAAGAGCGAGCGAGUCGGUCCCGGAGCAGGCCAUCGAACAGAGCGGCAAACUUGAACUCUGUCCUGCCGAUUACCAGGGACUCGUGGUCUAAAUCUUUCAGCCGGCGUCGUCUUUAAAUGAACACACACUACAAAGGGAAUGGCUAACGCUGGAAAUAAGAAGAAUACACUCACCUGCAAAUCAAAGGAAUGAAUAAAUACGCCCCUCCCCUCCGUCAGCCUGGCGAACGGAGUCUGUUGCAUGCUGGGAUAGGGGAAGUGCCUGCCGGGGCUCCACAAUGGCGUGCGGGUGUAUUCGGGACCCUCCUCUUGUGUUGGUCUUGGCGGGGAGGAUUUCACAGUCUGCUCAGCACAGCUGGAUCCUCACAGACCUCACUGACUCUGGAUCAGCCUCUCAGACGCUCCUCAUGUGUGUUUCUGUAGGCCAGACCCCAGAGACACGCUCACGACUCAAAGCAAGACGCGAGUGUCCCGGGAGGCCAGGAAGUCACCGUCCAGAUAUCAGCAAACGCUGGAGUCAGGACUCAUGAAGAUGCAGGACAUUGAGGGGCCUUGUUUAACUUAACUCAGUAUCGUCAAACACCUGCUGGGCUCACGCAAACAGAUGACCUUUCACCUUUAGGGUCUGUACUGCUUAUUUCACAUACUGGUAUAACAGUGAUGCAAUGCUGUACUAAAAUGAAUAGGCUGCGGCCAUCAUAGAAAUUGAGGUGGUCUGAUCUUCUACAUUUGAAUUAGUGGAUAUUUCAUAUAAUUUUGUCUUAACCCAGCCUUGAAUAUUUGGUUGCAUCCUUGACGAUAGACACUAUUAAAUAUGCUGUGAUGUUCUCAGAACCAGGUUUGCCAAUAUCAAAACUGGGAAAUAGUUCAAAAGCUCUUCCUGAUAUUAUUUUUAAAGAGACAUGAUCGUUUGGGUAUAGAUACUGUGCAAAAGUCUUAGGCCGUUAGUAUUUUUUACAAAAGAAAAGGGUUUUAAGCCAGAUGUCUUUUGCUGUUGUGUGUCAGAAGGAAAUAUCAGAUCCAAACAAUCCUUUUGCCAGUAUACAAUAUAUAAUAUAACACAAUACAAUAUAUAAUAUUAUAAUCCAGUGAGAGUAAAGACUGUUUUUAGAUGCAUUGCUCUAUUAAAGCUGAUGUGUGUCAUUGUCUGAAUGUUAAAUAUUAAAAAACAUUCUCAUAUGCCAUUUUAUAUGCAUAGUCGUUAAUAUGGUAUAAUCCAUACAUCCAUUGAUAUGUUAGUCUGA